UACGGAGGGUGCGAGCGUUGUUCGGAAUCACUGGGCGUAAAGCGCGUGUAGGCGGCCCAUUAAGUCUGAUGUGAAAGCCCGGGGCUCACCCCCGGAAGUGCAUUGGAAACUGAUGGGCUCGAGUCCCGGAGAGGAGGGUGGAAUUCCUGGUGUAGCAGUGAAAUGCGUAGAGAUGUGGAGGAACACCGAUGGCGAAGGCAGCCCCCUGGGCCGACACUGACGCUCAUGCACGAAAGCGUGGGGAGCAAACAGG
rnacentral:rRNA from 1 species